ACGAACUGUUUUUUCUUUGCUACAUGGAAAACUGGGGACGUUUUUUUCUAGCACACCGGAUAGGCAAGCCUUGUUAACUCGCAACGCAGGUGCCCUCGGGUCGGAUUUUUCUAUCCGGAACGGGAACACAUGACAGAUAUUAUUAAUAAAACUUUUUUUCUGAAAACAGUGGAAUUUGACAUAAUUAGGAAAGGAAUUUCAUUUAUCUUAAGUUCUGUUCAUAUGUUAUUCCAAAAUUGGAAAAUUGUGACAUGAUUGUGAAAAUAUUUAACAAGUAACGAUCUACAAACAAUGGAGCGAACACAAACACAAUAAUUCUUCAAUAGUAGAAAAAAUAUCAAUAGUAUCAUCAAAGGACAGAAUAGUGUGUAAGAAGCACUUCCAAUAUACAUUCAGCUGCGGAAACGGGAGAUGGCACUUCCAAGUAAACCUAAAAGCAACAAGAGAGGAAAGAAAAAGUAGAAUGUUAUGCACUGUGGACUUCCGGUGGAACUUGAAUCACUUGGUCACCCCUACCUUGAGCUGUUCGUGACUCACUUGGUCAUUCCCACAUUAAGCUGUCGAUUCUUGAAUAAGUCGGUCUUCCCCGCCUGAAGCUGUCGAUGUAUGACUCAAUUGGUCAUUCCAACACGGAGCUGUCGAUCCGUGACUUACUGGGUCAUUCCAACCUGGAGCAGUCGAUACGUGACUCGCUUGGUAAUUCCCACCUGGAGCUAUCGUACUGGAAUGUGAUCUUAGAACCCCAGGUGUGUUAAGCAUGUGAAGAAACUGCCGGUCCUACACAAUGCUAACAAAAAGGCGUGGAUGACGUGUAGUAUAUUCGCCGAUCGAUGAUAACUGUUCAGCACAUCCUGAGGUUAAGAACAUGAAAGGUAAUCACCCUUUUUUCCCCCCAAACAUAACAUCAGUACUGCAACAUUUGGAUCAGGGUUUCAUCAGAUCCAUGAAGGUUAGGUAUAAGAAGCAGCUCUGGUUCCGGUUCUCUAAGACGAAAUCACCAUGAUAGAUGAAGACGACCGAAAUAGCGGUAUCUCACUUGCGCGUCUCGCCGCCGGCAUGGGACCAGUAACUGUGGACAAAUGCAUAAACAUCGAACAGAACAUCCCGACAUCCGAGAACAUCGAAGACCACGACAUUAUCACGGAACUCUUAGACCAGCGAACAGCAGACACAGCGGUUAACUACAGCAGCUUCGAAGAUGAAGAAAAAUCCGCUACCGAAGACCAUAUAGCUGACCACCUAGCGACAACCUUCAUCGCCAGAAUGAUACGAUGUUUAGAGAAACAAACAGAUGGCAGCGCAUUCUAAGACUACAUCACCCUGGACUUAUACGUAAACUAGAAAACACAUCAAUGGAAUAAAGACAUUGCAGUGAGACAUCACAUCAUCCUUUAAAAAAUAAACCUAACGAAACUUAGUAAACUACGUGUAUUUUUAAUGCUUUUAAAACAUGCUUUAUAUUAACUGUGCUAUGAUACGAAUGCAUACAUGUGCUGUAAUUUUGUUUUAAAUGUAUAAUGCCGUUUUAAUAAAAAAGUAUUUUAAAAGUAUAAUAACAAAAAGGUAAUUAUUUAACAAUUAUCAACAAAAUUGUAUACUGAACGACCACUCAAACCAUAUGUUACAUGUUAGUAACGUGAAACCGACAUCGCAAUCCUCACGACUCAAUAUUUACGUCACCUCCUCAUUCGCGUUCGCUGUCAUUUUCUAAAGAUUGUUAAUCCAAAAUAUCGUUAUUUCGAUUUUUUUAUCUGGUUUCGGUUAUUUCGGUUUUUAAAUUUAAGGAAAUAUAUAUCUGGAUAUCUACAAAAGCCAAAUUUCCUCAGAUAGUCUGGUGCAUUUAAGUUGCAAAAUUGUAGUAUAAUGAUUUCAUUACAUUCUUUCUCAUUUAAUGCUUUUCCAUUUGCCUGAUAUCACAUGCAUUAUGUGACAAAAUUAUGAUACUCAUAUAAUCUUAACAUAAGACAUGUGUCUUGUUGCAUACAUAAGUUAAAUGAUAUAUAUGAUGUACAGCCCAAUCAUAACACUAGUUACAAAUGCUCAAAUGUAUGGGGCCUCACGACGUAUGCCACAAGUCAACACAUGUUUAUUGUGUGUUAACAGAAUAAAAAAGUAUAUGUGGUUGUUAUUAAAGAAAGGAGAAAUCAGAGAUAUUUCCUUUUAAAUGACACCUUUUUUACCAUUAUUUUAUAUUCUCGAAGGACAUUAACAAAACAUAAAAUAAGAAUUUCUUUAGUCUACGAAGUUUUUUAAAAAGCUGUUUCAUUCUUUAAUUUACAUUGAUGUUUUUUACGAUGAUCACUGAAAGAUAUGAAACUACAUAUGAAUACAUUUGAAAUAAGCGGGAUACAGUUAAUUUGAAUAAAUAUUAGAAAGUUAGAUGAAUCGAUAUAUAAAUAAUUGGACAGCGUGGGCGCUAUCGUGCUUAAUAUUCAUAGGUUUAUUAGGUGUAUUAAAAUUCAUGACACUAACGAAUUCAGUAGAUAUGAUAAUGUGUAUAUGAUAAAAUAAAACAUACAAUAUGUUACAAUUAUUUUUAUGUAGGAGUUGAAAUAGGUAAAGUAGAGUAAGAAUAUUGUUCACACUAAUUACAACAAUAUAUAUGAUAAUAUUAUCAGCACUCUAUGAAAAUAAGACAUAUGGUUCCACUGAAUAGUGAAUAUAUCAAAAUCAUUUGUACGCGUUCAAUAUUUCUAGGAGUGUUGAAUUACUCUGGCAAGAGUACUUACAUUAUAAAAGUAUCUACAUUAGCUACACAUCAAAAAAAACAAAAACAAGCAAAAAAACAUAUUUUAAUCGAUCAUUUCCGUUAGACAAUGUAGUUUUAGAAACUCAUUGAACAUAUCCAAACCUUGUAAAACUUAUCAGGUGAAACAAAAACCAUACAGCAAUAGUUAGUUUUGAAGAUUA